UUAGAGGCAUUGGGGGCG
rnacentral:snRNA from 1 species